AGUCUGCAACGCGACUACAUGAAGCUGGAAUCGCUAGUAAUCGCGGAUCAGAAUGCCGCGGUGAAUACGUUCCCGGGUCUUGUACACACCGCCCGUCACACCAUGGGAGUCGGAAAUGCCCGAAGCCAGUGACCCAACGAAAGAGGGAGCUGUCGAAGGCAGGUCUGAUAACUGGGGUGAAGUCGUAACAAGGUACC
rnacentral:rRNA from 1 species